CACAGUGACACAGGAGGCUGCUGCGCUGUACAAAAACUGAUUAAGCAAGCACUUCUCUUACUGUGAGAGUCUGUGAAAUAUUUCUGAACUCCAGUCUCUGUCAACAUAAAUCCCAUGGCCCGACCAACACAGAGAGUAGACACAUACUACUCUAAAUUAUAACCAUUAUUAUUUGAAAAGCAUAAAACAUACCUGACAUUUUUGUAAGAUAAAAACAUAAAUAUCUUUACAGCCAUUCAAUUAUAAUCUCUAGCAGCUAAAACCAUUUACCUCGUAAUGUCUAUUUGAAUGAAACCAAAUGUCAAAUUUCAGCAAACAGGAUUAGUACAAUAUGUAAUACAGAACCAUGAAGGUCAAUAACGUUAAAGUAUAGAUGAAACAAGUAUAGAUGAAACAAGUUUAGAUGAAACAAGUUUAGAUGGAACAAGUAUAGAUGAAACAAGUUUAGAUGAAACAAGUUUAGAUGGAACAAGUAUAGAUGGAACAAGUUAAGAUGAAACAAGUUCAACUUUUUAUGGCUGCAGGGGCAGUAUUGAGAAGCUUGGAUGAAAGGUGCCCAUAUCAAACGGCCUGCUCCUCAGUCAUUGUUGCUAAUAUUUGCAUACUAUUAUUAGUAUUAGAUAGAAAACACUCUGACGUUUAUAAAACUGUUUGAAUGAUGUCUGUGAGUAUAACAGUACUCAUAUUGUCAGGCAAAAUCUUGAGUCAAAUUAGGAAGUCAGAAAUCUGAGCUUGUAUGUAUUCACCACAUUUACAUUUACAUUUAAGGUGGUGCAUUCACCUUAUGACAUCCAUUGGAGUCCCCAAUGAAAUCCCCCUGAGGUAUGAAUGAUGUUGCACUGCCUCGGGGUUCCACUAGAUGUCAAACAUCAAUAGAAAUUAUAAUGAGGCUUCUAUGUUGUUGUGGGAGUGAAUGAGAGCAGAAUAUAUCAGAUGUCCAUCAAGCAGCCAUUUUGUGAUCGCGCUUUUUCCUCAUGGUAGUUACUUGAGUUUCAUUGCUCACGAAGACAAGAAGGAAUACUCCGGUUGGAACUUUAUUGAAGCUAUAUGUUAAAAACAUCCCAAUGAUUGAUUCUGUACUUAGUUUGAAAUGUUUCUUCAACCGGUAAUGUCACUUUUUAAAGUUUGUCCGAUAUAACUCUGACCAGAAUUAGCAUUUGGAUAUGUAUACCAAACGCGCUAACAAAAGAAGGUAUUUGGACAUAAAUAACGGACAUUUUCGAACAAAACAAACAUUUAUUGUGGACCUGGGUUUCCUGGAGUGCUUUCUGAUGUAGAUCAUCAAAGGUAAGGGAAUAUUUAUCAUGUCAUUUCUUGUUUAUUGUGAUGCCAUCUUUGCGGCUGUGAUGUUUUUACUUUUGAGCGCAGUCUCAGAUUAUUGCAUGCGUUUCUUUUUCCGUAAAGUUUUUUGAAAUCUGACACAGCAGUUGCAUCAAGGAGAGGUAUAUCUAUAAUCCCAUGUGUAUAACUUGUCUUAUCAUCUACAUUUAUGAUGAGUAUUUCUGUUGAAUGAUGUGGCUAUGCAAAAUCACUUGAUGUUUUUGGAACUAGAGAAUCUAACGCGCCAAUGUAAACUCCGAUUUUUUUUAUAUAAAUAUGGACUUUAUCAAACAAAACAUGCAUGUAUUGUGUAACAUGAAGUCCUAUGAGUGUCAUCUGAUGAAGACAAUUCAAGGUCAGUGAUUCAUUUUAUCUUUAUUUCUGGUUUUUGUGAAUGCUAUAUUUUGCUGGAAAAUGGCUGUGCUUAUUGUGGUUUGGUGGAGACCUCACAGAAUUGUUUGUAGUGCUUUUGCUGAAAAGCCUAUUUGAAAUCGGACAUUUUGGUGGGAUUAGCAACGAGAAUAGCUUUAAAAUGAUAUAAGACACAUGUUUGUUUUAGGAAUUGUAAUUAGAUUUCUGUGGUUUGAAUUUGGCGCCCUCUACUUUCACUGGUAGUUGUCAUAUCGAUCCCGGUAUCGGGAUUGCAGCCAUAACAGGCUAACCCCAUGGAGAUGCAAAUAUAUUCUGUUUACCAAGAGCCAAUGUCUCCUCCCAUUACAAAAGUCUGCUAUAAUAACUGAACCCCAGAGACCAUCUCCCUCAUUCACAACUGUCAUUUUCAGUCUACACCUUUGUUUCAAAAAUCUUACAAUCUCAAUGUUCUAACUGAACUAUUUUAUAACUCCAUCUGUAUCCUAGAGGUUGUAAGACUAAGUUUUAAAUAAACAGACAGUCCCAGCAUACAAAUGAUCAGUUCUUUAUUCAGAGAGCUCUGCCCUUCUAGUGCAGAGCUAGUCUUUUAUAUACACACACACACAAGUUCUUAUCAUGGGCUACUCCAUAGUCGGACAGGCUGAACUUUUCCUCUAUCCAGGGUGAGAUCAGAAUCUUCUCUUAUUGGUUUCACAGUUGCACAAGUUGUCUGUCGAUAGCUCAUCUUAUCCUUUGUUGUCGCAACUACACCCUGCUUACAUAGCUAAAAAGGAACACAAUGUCCUAAUUCUAUCCUGCCUAAGCUGCACACAUGAUCAACUUAUAGUCUUAUGUGUCUAAUGGAUUUCACACAAAGCGAUAGUUUCAGGGUGAAAUAUCUGUCAUUACUUUAAACAUACAAAUUAUUCUAUCAAUCUAUCAUUGACUAAAUAUUACACACACAAGAAAAGUAUUUACACCACUAAUUCGUCAACUUAAGGGGUUAUUUUUUGUCACGCCCUGGUUGAGGUAUUUUGUGUUUAUCUUAAUUUAUUUGGUCAGGCCAGGGUGUGGCAUGGGGUUUUUGUAUGUGGUGUGUUGGUAUUGGGAUUGUAGCUUAGUGGGGUGUUCUAGGUUAGUCUAUGGCUGUCUGAAGUGGUUCUCAAUCAGAGGCAGGUGUUUAUCGUUGUCUCUGAUUGGGAACCAUAUUUAGGCAGCCAUAUUCUUUGUGUGUGAUUGUUCUUAGUGUCCUUGUUCAUGUCUCAGUGUACACUAGUAUAGGCUGUUUCGGGUUUCGUUACGUUCUUUGUUUUGUAGUAUUUGUAUUGAUUCGUGGUUUACAUUUGUUUAUUUAACAUGGAUCGCAAUCUACACGCUGCAUUUUGGUCCGACUCUCCUUCACCACAAGAGAACCGUUACAGUUCUAUCCCUACUUCCAGUUAUAGCUCUUCACUUUUUAUGAUUUUCACUACAACGUUCUCACUUCAGAACUAAGAAAAGUUGUAUCUAAUUGUAGGUCAUCAGGAUCGAAUGAUCGGAGGCAAGUAGCAUUCAUCCCAUUGGUCGGAAUCUGGAAUUGUUCCAAACCUCACCGUCUGAGUUACCGCAUUCUCCAGCGCCUUAUUCACCAACUCCCGGACAAAAAAAUAAAAUAAAAAAUGUUUUAAUGGUAUUUGGCCUAACAACAUGAAAUUAGGUUUCUAUUGUUGGUUGCAUAAUCUUAAUUUACCACUUCAUGUCUAAAAUGGGAAAGUGUUUGUGUUUCCAGGUGAACCAUCCUUGGAGCGCCUUCCAGUCCCCAGUGAGGAUCCGUUAGGCUAAGGGACCCAGAAACUCAUGUGUUCUGGGUGGGGCUUCAACCCUCAGAUCAAGUUGCUCUCUGGGUCUGAACAGAGGUCUGCAGCAGCCUAUAAGAGAAGGAUGGGGGAAGACGGACAUGUGGCAGUACCCAGUCAUAUCACAGUAACACAGCAGGAGUGGAACCAGGAUCCCAAGCCACCCUCUAAAAAGAUAGUGAGACCACCAGAUUUGGAUCUAUGGGGGUCAAAUGAUGCCACACUGCUUUGCUUGGUGUCUGGGUUCUUCCCCUCUGUAAUAGUGAAUUGGGAGAAGGCUGGCAGUCGCCUACCUUUAUCUCGCUACUCCAGUAACCCUUCAGUUCUUUAUGCAGGGAGCAGCAACUACUCCAUAGGUAGACUGGUAGAUGACUAUGGAGUAGACUCAUCGUGCCCAGGUCCGAAUGGAAUCAGAACUCCAAUUACUCCUGUGCUGUCAGACAUGAGUCGUCCCGAGAGACCUAUCCCCAGCACAAUAGAGAAUGUAUUUGGCUCAGUGACUCCCUCCGCACCAACAGCCACCCUGUUCCAGGGUCCCAGUGAGCUUGUCUGCCUGGUGCUUGGCUUCAGCCCUUCAGACAUCAACAUCACCUGGCUGCUGGACAAUGUCACAGAGCUGUGGAACACUAGCACCCCCUACAGGGCACCAGGAGGAAUGUUCGGCAUCAGGAGCCACCUGAGCCUGGCACACCAGGACUGGGCACCGGGGGCUGUUUACACCUGCAGGGUGACCCACACCACCCAGACUCUGGCCCUGAACAUAUCCAAACCAGAGCUCCUUGAGGUGGAGGGUGUCUUCUUUGACGAGAACAGGUCUGAUCCCAUUCUGGCGGACACUGCAGAGGAGAACUGGAACAUGGCCUGCAUCUUCCUGGUCCUCUUCCUCAUCUCCCUCCUCUACAGCUUCACAGUCACUCUGGUCAAGACAAAAUUAUGACUUCAGGACACUUCCAUAUGAUGGAUCUCUAGGAGUUCAACUGGAAAUGAAACCUUUUCUUAUAAAAUCACAACACGUUUCUUUAGAACAUUACAUAGUUUUAAUGUCUUACGGUUUACUGUAGCUGGUUUGAUGAUAGGGAAGUGUUUGACGACAGGGAAGUGACAGGGAAGUGUUUGACGACAGGGAAGUGACAGGGAAGUGUUUGACGACAGGGAAGUGUUUGACGACAGGGAAGUGUUUGACGACAGGGAAGUGUUUGACGACAGGGAAGUGUUUGACGACAGGGAAGUGUUUGACGACAGGGAAGUGUUUGACGACAGGGAAGUGUUUGACGACAGGGAAGUGACAGGGAAGUGUUUGACGACAGGGAAGUGACAGGGAAGUGUUUGACGACAGGGAAGUGACAGGGAAGUGUUUGAUGACAGGGAAGUGACAGGGAAGUGUUUGAUGACAGGGAAGUGACAGGGAAGUGUUUGAUGACAGGGAAGUGACAGGGAAGUGUUUGAUGACAGGGAAGUGUUUGAUGACAGGGAAGUGUUUGAUGACAGGGAAGUGUUUGAUGACAGGGAAGUGUUUGAUGACAGGGAAGUGUUUGACAGGGAAGUGUUCUUGUUUUUAUUCCCCACAAAAACAGACAAUGUGGUGGUGCUUACUUGCUCUCAUCUCUUGUUAAUGCGUUAUAGAAUUUGAGCAGAGACAAUACAUUUUUUUUAUUUAACCACUACUAAAUAAAGCAUACCAUAGCAGUUAUUGCUGAAUUAUCCUCAGAUAAUAAAAAAUAAUUUCAAACUA